rnacentral:rRNA from 1 species
UACGUAGGUGGCAAGCGUUGUCCGGAUUUACUGGGUGUAAAGGGUGCGCAGGCGGGACUGCAAGUUGGAUGUGAAAUACCGAGGCUCAACCUCGGAGCUGCAUCCAAAACUGUAGUUCUUGAGUGAUGUAGAGGUAAGCGGAAUUCCGAGUGUAGCGGUGAAAUGCGUAGAUAUUCGGAGGAACACCAGUGGCGAAGGCGGCUUACUGGGCAUUUACUGACGCUGAGGCACGAAAGUGUGGGGAGCAAACAGG